rnacentral:lncRNA from 1 species
UUUCAGAAACACCUUUUGGCUUCUUGGGCUCAAGCAAUCCUAUCUUUAAUAUCUUUGCCUUCUCAGCUGCUCUGUCUUCUGCUGGUCCCUUGUAUUUGCCCAUUUCUCUCUCGCUGACUAAGCCCUGCUGAGAAAACCCAUAUACUUUCUCUUUCAGUGUGUGAACAUGGAUGACCUUUGCUCCUAGCUCCUGACACCAAUUCCAUUGUCUCUUCUGUGCGACUGACACUCUACUGUUGCUAUGACAUUGGGCAAGGCCACUUUUUCUGUGUGUAGUGCCUUUCCCUGGACUGAUCUGUGUGCAUCUGCACCUUUCUUCCAGUAUGCCUCUCCUCUGCCAUGCUACUAAGAGCCUAGUUUAUUCUGCAGUGCAGGAUCAGAUUAAGUAUUCCCUGGAUUCAGCAUCUGGGUGGCUGAUUAACCAGUCUGUGCAUGCAGAGAUAAAUUAAACUGCGUAGGACAAUGAUUAAAUUCUGUUACUCUUACAAGUGAACUGUGCAUUCCUGAGAUGUAUUAUAUGUAGGAGGGGAGGAGUUGCUGAGUUUACACUGGUUUAUGAGUGUGCAUGGACAGAAGGAUGUGGGAACUGACCCAUGGGGAGAAAAUCAGAGAGGCUGCAACAUGAACCCAACCCUUUCAAGACACUGGUGAAUCUCUGCAGGAGAUGUGACUUGACUGGAGACUCAGGUGAUAACAAGUCUUUUCCUUUUUUUCUGCAAAAUAUUCUGCCCUGCCAUCUAUAA